rnacentral:lncRNA from 10 species
GAGAACCCGGAAACCGGAAGCGCAGAUCCUGCCGGCUCUGGACUAGCCGCUCAGCACCAGGGCGGAAGGAAGACGAGGCGAGGCAAGCGCCAAGCUUCCAUCCGGACUUCAAGGCCAGUGGCUGGGUCUGGUUUUCUCAACACGGCCUCCUAGUCUCCUUCCCGCUUGGGCAUCUGUUUUUCUUAUAUAGACCCUGAAGCCGCCCGUGAUGUUCUGUAAGCAGGUUCCGCUUCAGAAUCAGAGGUACUUAAGAGGGAACCUGGAUGCUAGACCUGCCCUUGCUGCUGGCCUCAGUUUCUUUACCUGUAAAACAGGGAUUUUGGAACUGUUAAAUUAAAUCAAACUUAAAAGAAUUACAACUUAAAGCUGCUGGAACUUUACAUGAUCCCGAGCCUUGAGAGGAAUGUGGCUAUGCAGCCUGAGUCAUGUGGCAUGCAGAUGCAACCUCUGCCUUUUUCCGCUGUAAAUAAUUAAGAAGACCAAGUAGCAUCCAAGGUUCUCUUGUCCUUCUGCCUGCUGUUGUGGGAUGAUGUGUAGAGGAAGAUAGUCUUCCUCUACACAGCAAGAAGAUCCCUACCAGAUGCAGCCCUCUCAACCUUGGACUUCCUGACAUCCAGAACUAGUCACCUAAGCUGAAGAUUCCCUUGAGAACAAGUACUGUCCUGUGGUUUCAUGGCCUUUCUUCCAUUUGUGGUUCUUGCCAAGCGGAAUUUAAAUGACAUCUUAUCAAGAUGGAUAAACCCUAGUUUCCCAGUGCUGGAAUAUAGAAAAUGGAUGGACAAGUAAAUCCCACUCAGCACCCAUAGCCCAGGCAUGGGGACCUCAACACAUUUGAGCCGCAGAGAUCACCUUUCAUUGUGAAUAGCUCUGAGAUGAUACUUCUGGUUGGUAAUGUCUUUUUGUCACUUCCGGCUGGAUCUACCAUGAAAGAUUUCUGAAUCCAGGAAGAGAGAUUGACUGGGCAACAUGUUAUUCAGGUAAAACAGGACCUUGCCCUGUCACUCAGGAUGGGCUGACUGCAGCCUCAACCUUCCAGGCUGAAGCGAUCCUCCCAUCUCAACCUCCCACGUGGCUGAGACUACAGGCGCUUGCCACUAUGCCCAACUAAUAUUUGGAAUUUUCCUAUACGUGGAUUCCAGAGGGGUGACAGCGAAACGUGGGACCAUCCAGUUGCAGGAAAACGAGCUUAACACGCCCACUGAUUCUACAUUAUGGCUCCUACCUCCCGGCAGCCUCUCCAGGCCCAGAACUUUCUCCAGUCGGCCUCCACAGACCAAGCUCAUGACUCACAAUGGCCUAUUUAGGCCCAUACCCUACCUCACGGCAGUCUCCGCAGAUGAGGCUACUGCCUCACAACAGCCUCCACAGGCACAGCUCCAUCGUUACAAUGGCCUCUUUAGACCCAGCUCCUGCCUCCCAGCCUUCUCUCUAGGCCCUGAACUUUCUCAAGUCGACGUCACCAGGCCCAGCUCAUGCUUCUUGGCAGCCUCUCCAGGCCCAGCUCUUCCUCCCGGCGGCCUCUGCAGGCCCAGACUGUCAUCAAGUCGGCCUGUCCAGGGCCAGCUCCUGCCUCCCGGCGCCCUCUGCAGGCCCAAGUCGUCCUCAAGUUGGCCUCCCCAGGCCCAGCUCCAGCCUCUCGGCGGCCUCUCCGGGUGCAAAAGUUCCUCGAGUCAGCCUCUCCAGGCCCAGCUCCUCCUGCCUCC